rnacentral:rRNA from 1 species
GUCUACGAUCAUACCACGUUGAAAGCACCGCAUCCCGCCCGAUCUGCGAAGUUAAGCAACGUUGGGCUGACGUCAGUACCAGAAUCGGAGACGU